GAUGAACGCUGGCGGCGUGCUUAACACAUGCAAGUCGAACGGAAAGGCCCAAGCUUGCUUGGGUACUCGAGUGGCGAACGGGUGAGUAACACGUGGGUGAUCUGCCCUGCACUUCGGGAUAAGCCUGGGAAACUGGGUCUAAUACCGGAUAGGACCACAUUUUGGAUGGUGUGGUGGAAAGUUUUUCGGUGUGGGAUGAGCUCGCGGCCUAUCAGCUUGUUGGUGGGGUAAUGGCCUACCAAGGCGUCGACGGGUAGCCGGCCUGGGAGGGUGUACGGCCACAUUGGGGCUGGGAUACGGCCCAGACUCCUACGGGGAGCAGCAGUGGGGAAUAUUGCACAAUGGGCGCGAGCCUGAUGCAGCGACGCCGCGUGGGGGAUGACGGCCUUCGGGUUGUAAACUCCUUUCGCUAGGGACGAAGCGUUAUGUGACGGUACCUGGAGAAGAAGCACCGGCUAACUACGUG
rnacentral:rRNA from 1 species